UGGGGAAUAUUGGACAAUGGGCGCAAGCCUGCUCCAGCCAUGCCGCGUGAGUGAUGAAGGCCCUAGGGUUGUAAAGCUCUUUCACCGGUGAAGAUAAUGACGGUAACCGGAGAAGAAGCCCCGGCUAACUUCGUGCCAGCAGCCGCGGUAAUACGAAGGGGGCUAGCGUUGUUCGGAUUUACUGGGCGUAAAGCGCACGUAGGCGGACUAUUAAGUCAGGGGUGAAAUCCCGGGGCUCAACCCCGGAACUGCCUUUGAUACUGGUAGUCUUGAGGUCGAGAGAGGUGAGUGGAAGUCCGAGGGUAGAGGUGAAAUUAGGAGAUAUUCGGAGGAACACCAGUGGCGAAGGAGGCUCACUGGCUGGAUACUGACGCUGAGGUGCGAAAGCGUGGGGAGCAAACAGG
rnacentral:rRNA from 1 species